AGUUGACUGGCUGACCUCGCGCCGUCCACCACCCCCUUCCCUCUGUUUCUCUGUUUUUUCUUUCUCUUUCUGCGGGUUUCCUGAAUUUGCAGAUUGAUUAUACCGGAACAGAGCCUUCCAGUCCCUGUAAUAAAUGUUUAUCUCCGGAUGUGACACCUUGCUUUUGUACCAUUAACUUCACACUGGAAAAGUCAUUUGAGGGCAACGUGUUUAUGUAUUAUGGACUGUCUAAUUUCUAUCAAAACCAUCGUCGUUACGUGAAAUCUCGAGAUGAUAGUCAACUAAAUGGAGAUUCUAGUGCUUUGCUUAAUCCCAGUAAGGAAUGUGAACCUUAUCGAAGAAAUGAAGACAAACCAAUUGCUCCUUGUGGAGCUAUUGCCAACAGCAUGUUUAAUGAUACAUUAGAAUUGUUUCUCAUUGGCAAUGAUUCUUAUCCUAUACCUAU
rnacentral:lncRNA from 1 species